rfam:Microsporidia sp. TGP3 contig-207, whole genome shotgun sequence.
GCCGUGAUCGUCUAGUGGUUAGGACCCUACGUUGUGGGGUCUGAUAGCGUAAAACCGUAGUAACCCAGGUUCGAAUCCUGGUCACGGCA